rnacentral:lncRNA from 10 species
CUGAAGGAGCACGGGAACAGAAAGUAUAUGUGUCAGGUGUGAGGAAGAAAAUACAUUUUGUAAGUUAUGAGAACUGUAGAAGAGUGAGUUGAGCAUAGUUUGUGAUUUUAAGGGUCUCUAAAAGUAUUAGGGCAGUGGUGGCUGCUGCAUGCAGACUUGAGGGCUAGGCAAAACAGUAAGGUCAAGUUGUUUGGAACAAAAGGCUACAGGGCGUGGUCCCGGCCCUUGUGUAACAAUUCUGACUGCACAGCCCUGCACUUCCAGCCCAGCUGUGGGUAAUGAAAAGGGUUGGGAUGAGUCAGGGAGAGCUAGGGUGGCUUCAGUCUCUAAAGCUGUCUUCAAGGAACGGAAAGAGGAAUGGAGAAAGGAUUUAGGAUCUAUGGGGUCAGCUAGGUUUCCUUUUGUGAGUUUAUAUAAUGGUUUUGUUAAGAUGGCGAAACCAGGCAUCCAAAAUCGAAAGUAUCCAACCAUGCCUAGGAAGGAAAGGAGUUGUUGUUUUGUAGAAGGUGUUGGGGUUUGAGAGAUCAGUCGGACACGAUUGGCAGGGAGAGCAUGUGCAUUUUUAUGAAGAAUUAUGCUGAGGUAGAUUACGGAUGGAGAAGAAAUUUGAGCUUUGGAGGGGGACACCCAAUAUCCUUUGGAGAAUAAAUGCUGAAGGAGCAGAAGGGUGUCUUGUUGAGAAGAUUCAAAGGAGGGGCUACAAAGAAGAAGGUCAUCAAUAUAUUGAAUAAGGUGAGAAGCGGAGGGGUGGAAAGAAAGUAAAUCAUGAGAAAGAGCUUGGCUGAAGUAAUGAGAGCUGUCCCUGAAACCCUGCGGCAGCACAGCCCAGGAGCAGAAACAGACACACAGAGGGAGACAGCCAUGUGAAUGAUUAAAGUGAUGUGUCUACAUGUCAAGUAACUCAAAGGAUUGCCGACAACUUCCAGAAGCAAGGAGAGAGGCAUGGAACAGAUUCUUUCUCGGGUGCUUCCAGAGGAAGAAAGUCUGCUGGCAUGUUAUUUCAGACUUCUAGAUUCCAGAACUGUGAGAUGAUAAAUGUAUGUUUUUCAAAGCCAUCCAAAUUUGUGGUACUUGGUUGCAGCAGUCCUGGGAAACUAGUACAUCGACACUGCACUGCCAAUUUCUUUAGCCCCGAGCUGAAUUUCCUUCUUCUUUGUAUCUAUGCCUCUGGAGUGUAUUUUCUCAAUGGGAGUAAUUCAUCCCAUUGUCAGGCAAUGACUACUUAAUUGGAAGAAUAUGGGAGGGGCUUGAGAAGCUAGGAUAUGAUUUUUCUAACUACCAGUCAUAUCUCUUGCUAAGUUUCCCACUUCUAAUAUUGCUUGAAUCAAAUACUAGCUUAGGGCAGAGAAUUUUUGGCUUUUCUACCCUGCUACUGUAGUUACAGCUAUCUCAGACUUCAAAUUACAGGUAGAAAUGAGGCUGGUUGCAGUGGCUCACACCUGUAAUCCCAGCACUUAGGGAGGCCGAGGUGGGCGGAUCACAUGAGGUCAGGAGUUACCAGCCUGCCCAAAAUGGUGAAACGCCAUCUCUACUAAAAAUAUAAAAAUUAGCCAGGCGUGGUAGUGCGUGCCUAUAGUCCCAGCUACUGGGGAGGCUGAAGCAGGAGAAUCUCUUGAACCUGGGAGGCGGAGGUUGCAGUGAGCAGAGAUCACACCACUGCACUCCAGCCUGGGUGACAGAGAUUCCAUCUCAAAAAAAAAAAAAAAGAAAGAAAGAAAAAAAAAAGAAAGAAGGAAAGAAAG